ensembl:snoRNA
GUGCCCUUUUAAGGUUGAUGUAGUGCUUUAAGAGGCUAACACAGAAGGGUAAAGGAAAGCUCCAUAAAAACCCAGAGAAGAGACUGCAAAAACUCUUCUUUGGAACCUGUCUGGAGUUACAGAU